UACGGAGGGGGCAAGCGUUGUUCGGAAUUACUGGGCGUAAAGGGCGCGUAGGCGGCCUGUUAAGUCGAAUGUGAAAUCCCUGGGCUCAACCCAGGAACUGCGUCCGAUACUGGCAGGCUUGAAUCCGGGAGAGGGAUGUGGAAUUCCAGGUGUAGCGGUGAAAUGCGUAGAUAUCUGGAGGAACACCGGUGGCGAAGGCGGCAUCCUGGACCGGUAUUGACGCUGAGGCGCGAAAGCGUGGGGAGCGAACAGG
rnacentral:rRNA from 1 species